rnacentral:lncRNA from 1 species
AAUCCAUCUGAAUUCCACUCUUAUACAGUCAUUCCUGCCUUAUCUCAUCACUAGUCAUUUCAACUACAAAUUUCUUGGGAAAUUUUAAUGUCAUAAGUCCUCUAUGUUAGGUUUUUUUUUUUUUUUUUUUUGUCAACUUGACACUACCUAGAGUCAUUUGGGAAAAGGGACAUUCAAUUGAGAAAAUAUUCCAUAAGAUUCACCUAUAGUGAAUUUUUUGAUUAACAGUUGAUGUGAGAGGGCCCAGCCCACUACGGGGCAGUUUCACACUUAGGCUGAUGGUCCUGGGUUAUAUAAGAAAACAGGCAGAACAAGCCACGGGGAACAAGCCAGUGAGCAACACUCCUCCAUGAUCUCUGAUUCAGUUUCUGCCUCCAGGUUCCUGCGUUGAGUCCUUCCCUUAGUGAUGGACUGUGAUCGGGACUUGUAAACCAGACAAACCCUUUCCUCCCUAUGUUGCUUUGGCCAUGGCCACAGCAACAGGUACCCUGAGCUAUACUCACAAUAUUUAAACCUUUAAGAUGGAUUUAUUUUCCAUAAUGAGGCAGGAGACUUAACAACCCUCUUGGUGGUUUGUCAGCACUGCUGUAGCAAGCGAUUAUGCAGUUGAUGGCUUAAACAAGGCAGGCACUAACUUACAUUUCUGAAUGCCAGGAUGCUAAGUCAUAGUGUCGACAGGGCCAGUGUUUGCCUGCAAAGUGUGGGGAAAGCCAUCCUUGCCUUCACAGGCUUCUUGUCGGAGCCCCUGAUCGGCUUGCUAUUCCUUGGCUUUCGGCUACUUCCCACCUCUCUGCCUGGGUGAUCUUAAGGCAUUCUCCUUGCACUCAUCCUCUUAUGGAGUUGAGAGCUGUGGCCUAUGCCACUUCAGUCUGACUUUGUUUUGACUAAUUGCAUCUACAGCCUUGUUUUCAAAUAAGCUAGUUUUCUGAAGUUCCUGGGAUGAGCACUUCUUUUUAAGAAGAAGAGGGCACAAGUCAAUUCAGCAGCGUUGUCCCACAGGGGUUUGGAGGCCUGGGCCUCAGAAUACUGCUGUUAAGAUGAUUGAAACCAUUAAGAAGUGGAAUACACAUUGGUUGGCUUGCCUAUUGAAAAGAAUAUGUUAAUGCUGUUAUAGCCUUAGUUAUUCUCAAGAAAUCAAGCUUAUAAUAGAGCAAGGAGGAUUCCUUCCAAUUCUCUGGCUUCCUGUCUCACUCUGUGGGAGCCUAAGGUGUGUUCCCACUUCAUUAGUGUCAGGACUCCAGAGGUCAAACUGUCGAGGACUCUCCAUCUUGAACUUUCGGAUCCUAAAGUUCUGCUGAAUAAACCCUUUUGCUUUAUAAAGAA